rnacentral:rRNA from 1 species
UACGGAGGGGACUAGCGUUGUUCGGAAUUACUGGGCGUAAAGCGCACGUAGGCGGAUUUGUAAGUCAGGGGUGAAAUCCCGGGGCUCAACCUCGGAAUUGCCUUCGAUACUGGACAUCUUGAGUACGGGAGAGGUGAGUGGAACUCCGAGUGUAGAGGUGAAAUUCGUAGAUAUUCGGAAGAACACCAGUGGCGAAGGCGACUCACUGGCCCGUUACUGACGCUGAGGCGCGAAAGCGUGGGGAGCAAACAGG